UACGUAGGGGGCUAGCGUUGUCCGGAAUCAUUGGGCGUAAAGAGCGCGUAGGCGGCCCGGUAAGUCCGCUGUGAAAGUCAAAGGCUCAACCUUUGAAUGUCAGCGGAUACUGCCGGGCUAGAGUCCGGAAGAGGCGAGUGGAACUCCUGGUGUAGCGGUGGAAUGCGCAGAUAUCAGGAAGAACACCAACGGCGAAGGCAGCUCGCUGGGACGGAACUGACGCUCAGGCGCGAGAGCUAGGGGAGCAAACAGG
rnacentral:rRNA from 1 species